rnacentral:rRNA from 1 species
CUCUGUGACUCCUACGGGAGGCAGCAGUGGGGAAUAUUGCACAAUGGGCGCAAGCCUGAUGCAGCCAUGCCGCGUGUGUGAAGAAGGCCUUCGGGUUGUAAAGCACUUUCAGUCGUGAGGAAGGUGGUAGUGUUAAUAGCACUAUCAUUUGACGUUAGCGACAGAAGAAGCACCGGCUAACUCCGUGCCAGCAGCCGCGGUAAUACGGAGGGUGCGAGCGUUAAUCGGAAUUACUGGGCGUAAAGCGCAUGCAGGUGGUUUGUUAAGUCAGAUGUGAAAGCCCCGGGGCUCAACCUCGGAAUUGCAUUUGAAACUGGCAGACUAGAGUACUGUAGAGGGGGUAGAAUUUCAGGUGUAGCGGUGAAAUGCGUAGAGAUCUGAAGGAAUACCGGUGGCGAAGGCGGCCCCCUGGACAGAUACUGACACUCAGAUGCGAAAGCGUGGGGAGCAAACAGGAUUAGAUACCCUGGUAA